UACGUAGGUGGCAAGCGUUAUCCGGAAUUAUUGGGCGUAAAGCGCGCGCAGGUGGUUUUCUUAAGUCUGAUGUGAAAGCCCACGGCUCAACCGUGGAGGGUCAUUGGAAACUGGGAGACUUGAGUGCAGAAGAGGAAAGUGGAAUUCCAUGUGUAGCGGUGAAAUGCGUAGAUAUCUGGAAGAACACCAAUGGCGAAGGCACCAUCCUGGGAAGCAUCUGACGCUCAGGUGCGAAAAGCUAGGGGAGCGAACGGG
rnacentral:rRNA from 1 species